rnacentral:rRNA from 1 species
GACGAACGCUGGCGGCGUGCUUAACACAUGCAAGUCGAACGGAAAGGCCCUGCUUUUGUGGGGUGCUCGAGUGGCGAACGGGUGCGUAACACGUGAGUAACCUGCCCUUGUCUUUGGGAUAACUUCAGGAAACUGGGGCUAAUACCGGAUAGGAGCUCCUGCUGCAUGGUGGGGGUUGGAAAGUUUCGGCGGUUGGGGAUGGACUCGCGGCUUAUCAGCUUGUUGGUGGGGUAGUGGCUUACCAAGGCUUUGACGGGUAGCCGGCCUGAGAGGGUGACCGGCCACAUUGGGACUGAGAUACGGCCCAGACUCCUACGGGAGGCAGCAGUGGGGAAUAUUGCACAAUGGGCGGAAGCCUGAUGCAGCAACGCCGCGUGCGGGAUGACGGCCUUCGGGUUGUAAACCGCCUUCGCCUGUGACGAAGCGUGAGUGACGGUAAUGGGUAAAGAAGCACCGGCUAACUACGUG